GUUCCUAUAGUUGAAUUACAACGGUGGUUUUUCAUGUCGCUGGUCAUGGUUAGUUUCCAUGUAGGAAUA
rnacentral:tRNA from 2 species